UAGGGAAUCUUCGGCAAUGGGGGCAACCCUGACCGAGCAACGCCGCGUGAGUGAAGAAGGUUUUUGGAUCGUAAAGCUCUGUUGUAAGAGAAGAACGAGUGUGAGAGUGGAAAGUUCACACUGUGACGGUAUCUUACCAGAAAGGGACGGCUAACUACGUGCCAGCAGCCGCGGUAAUACGUAGGUCCCGAGCGUUGUCCGGAUUUAUUGGGCGUAAAGCGAGCGCAGGCGGUUAGAUAAGUCUGAAGUUAAAGGCUGUGGCUUAACCAUAGUACGCUUUGGAAACUGUCAAACUUGAGUGCAGAAGGGGAGAGUGGAAUUCCAUGUGUAGCGGUGAAAUGCGUAGAUAUAUGGAGGAACACCGGUGGCGAAAGCGGCUCUCUGGUCUGUAACUGACGCUGAGGCUCGAAAGCGUGGGGAGCGAACAGGAUUAGAUACCCUGGUAGUCCACGCCGUAAACGAUGAGUGCUAGGUGUUGGAUCCUUUCCGGGAUUCAGUGCCGCAGCUAACGCAUUAAGCACUCCGCCUGGGGAGUACGACCGCAAGGUUG
rnacentral:rRNA from 1 species